UACGUAGGGGGCAAGCGUUGUCCGGAAUCAUUGGGCGUAAAGAGCGUGUAGGCGGCCCGGUAAGUCCGCUGUGAAAGUCCAGGGCUCAACCCUGGGAUGCCGGUGGAAACUGCCUGGCUAGAGUCCGGAAGAGGAGAGCGGAAUUCCCGGUGUAGCGGUGAAAUGCGCAGAUAUCGGGAAGAACACCCGUGGCGAAGGCGGCCCUCUGGCUCGACCCUGACGCUGAGGCGCGAAAGCGUGGGGAGCGAACGGG
rnacentral:rRNA from 1 species